rnacentral:rRNA from 1 species
UGCCAGCCGCCGCGGUAAUACAGAGGGUGCAAGCGUUGUCCGGAUUUAUUGGGCGUAAAGAGUUUGUAGGCGGCUAAUCAAGUCUGAAGUGAAAGAAUGGGGCUUAACCCCAUCCCCGCUUCGGAAACUGUUUAGCUAGAGAAUGUUAGGGGCAAGUGGAAUUUCCAGUGUAGCGGUGAAAUGCGUAGAUAUUGGAAGGAACACCAGAGGCGAAGGCGACUUGCUGGGACAUUUCUGACGCUGAGAAACGAAAGCUAGGGUAGCGAAUGGGAUUAGAUA